rnacentral:ncRNA from 1 species
AAUAAUCGAAUGAAUUGAUCUCGUAUAAUGCCGGGGAUAUGGCCCGGAAGUUUCUACCCGGAUACCGUAAAUGUCCGGACUACGAGGGAAUACUGCUGAGGA